AUUGAACGCUGGCGGCAGGCCUAACACAUGCAAGUCGAGCGGAUGAAGGGAGCUUGCUCCUGGAUUCAGCGGCGGACGGGUGAGUAAUGCCUAGGAAUCUGCCUGGUAGUGGGGGAUAACGUCCGGAAACGGGCGCUAAUACCGCAUACGUCCUGAGGGAGAAAUUGGGUUUUCUUCGUACCUCACGCUAUCAGAUGAGCCUAGGUGGGAUAAGCUAGUUGGUGGGGGAAAGGCCUACCAAGGCGACGAUCCGUAACUGGUCUGAGAGGAUGAUCAGUCACACUGGAACUGGGAAACGGCCAAGACUCCUAGGGGAGGCAGAAGUGGGGAACAUUGGACAAUGGGCGAAAGCCUGAUCCAGAACUGCCGCGUGUGUGAAGAAGGUCUUCGGAUUGUAAAGCACUUUAAGUUGGGAGGAAGGGCAGUAAGUUAAUAACUUGCUGUUUUGACGUUACCAACAGAAUAAGCACCGGCUAACUUCGUG
rnacentral:rRNA from 1 species